rnacentral:rRNA from 1 species
GACGAACGCUGGCGGCGUGGAUUAGGCAUGCAAGUCGAACGGUAUCAUCCUUUCGGGGGUGAGAGAGUGGCGAACUGGUGAGUAACACGUAGGUUAUCUACCCUCAAGACGGGGACAACCCAGGGAAACUUGGGCUAAUACCGGAUGUGAGCAACUUUUAGUUGUUUGAAAGGUGGCGUAAGCUGUCGCUUGGGGAUGAGCCUGCGUCCUAUUAGUUAGUUGGUGAGGUAACGGCUCACCUAGGCAAUGAUAGGUAGGCGGCCUUAACGGGUGGUCGCCCACACUGGGAUUGAGAUACGGCCCAGACUCCUACGGGAGGCAGCAGUCGAGAAUAGUCUACAAUGGUCGGAAGACUGAUAGUGCGACGCCGCGUGAACGAUGAAUCCCUUCGGGGUGUAAAGUUCUUUUAUAUGUGAGCAGUGCUUCUUAUAUUAACAGUAUGGGGAAGAGAUAUUAGCAUAUGAAUAAGCAAACGGCUAAACUCCGUGCCAGCAGCCGGGU